GGACUACACGGGUAUCUAAUCCUGUUUGAUCCCCACGCUUUCGUGUAUGAGUGUCAGUAUAGGACCAGGUCGCCGCCUUCGCCACCGGUGUUCCUCCUGAUAUCUACGUAUUUCACCACUACACCAGGAAUUCCACGACCCUCUUCCAUACUCAAGUUUGGUAGUUUUGAAUGCACUUCCCAAGUUAAGCUCGGGGCUUUCACAUCCAACUUACCAAACCACCUGCACACGCUUUACGCCCAAUGAUUCCGAACAACGCUUGGACCCCCCGUCUUACCGCGGCGGCUGGCAC
rnacentral:rRNA from 1 species